rnacentral:rRNA from 1 species
UUAUUUAUUGCUUAUUGCACCACAUGUGUUUUUCUUUGAAACAAACUUGCUUUGGCGGUGGGCCCAGCCUGCCGCCAGAGGUCUAAACUUGCAACCAAUUUUUUAUCAACUUGUCACACCAGAUUAUUACUAAUAGUCAAAACUUUCAACAACGGAUCUCUUGGUUCUCGCAUCGAUGAAGAACGCAGCGAAAUGCGAUACGUAAUAUGAAUUGCAGAUAUUCGUGAAUCAUCGAAUUUUUGAACGCACAUUGCGCCCUCUGGUAUUCCGGAGGGCAUGCCUGUUUGAGCGUCGUUUCUCCCUCAAACCGCUGGGUUUGGUGUUGAGCAAUACGACUUGGGUUUGCUUGAAAGACGGUAGUGGUAAGGCGGGAUCGCUUUGACAAUGGCUUAGGUCUAACCAAAAACAUUGCUUGCGGCGGUAACGUCUACCACGUAUAUCUUCAAACUUUGACCUCAAAUCAGGUAGGACUACCCGCUGAACUUAAGCAUAUCAAUAAGCGGAGGAA